GGCGGGGCCUCAGCAGCGCGCGGAGCUGCGGGGGAGUGGGGCGGAAGGGCGUGGGGCAGCGGAAGGAGCGCGCCGAGUGCUACGGCUGGUUGGGGCCAUGGUGCAGCUUUAUAACCUGCACCCGUUUGGGUCGCAGAGAGUAGUGCCCUGCAGGCAGGAGCCGGCGCAGUUCUGCUGCGGCCACGACGUGCUGUUCGUGGCCAGCGCGGCAGCCAGCUGCGGGGUGGAGGUGUUCGCCGUGCGCCCCGAGGGCCGCUGCGAGCCCUUGGGCUCCUUCGCCACGCUGGGCCCCGUGCUGCGCAUGGCGCACAGCCGCGCAGGAGACUAUUUGGCGACGAUUGAAGAGAAAAGCAAAGCGACCUUCCUAAGAGCGUAUGUGAACUGGCGGUGCAUGUCUGCAGGGAGUUCUCGUGUUUGUGUCCGGAUGGUGGGUCACAAGAUGGAAGAGUCCUAUACCGAAACCUUAAAAGAGCAGAUGUCGAUAGUGGAAAUGGCGCUUUCAGAUCCUCCGCUGUGUAUUUCAUGUUGCCCUGUAAAUGGGGAUCUUCUUGUGGGCUGCGAGAAUAAGCUGAUCAUGUUCUGUUUGAAAUACCUGGUCAUAAACCAGAAUUUGACAGUAUUAGACUUUGAACGCUCCUUAAUUUUACACAUUGAUAACUUCAUUCCUGCUGAAGUUGCGUUUUGUGCUGGACACAUAGCAGUAACAACAGAUUUGGAUGUUCUAAUCCUGAAGCUGGACCUGAUCCAGCAAAGUGCAGUCAGGGGAGAGCAGUGCGCACAUCAAGUUAGUACAACAGAGAAGCCGGUGGAUGAAGGUAUAAAAGAUGAAGACCUUGCAGCUCGUAGUUUGCAGCCUGAAUUAGAUGAUUUUGUCAUAUGUCAGAAGCCAGUGGAACUGCUUGGGGAAGACAGUAAGCUUUGUAAGAUACCCAUCACACUAGAGUCCACAGAGUUGUCUACAGAAGACAAAAAGCAUUUUCAAGUGCAGUAUCUCCUUUUCAGGCAUUUCACACCAGACCAGUCCCCUUUUGGCUUUUGUGAAGAGACAAAGCUGCACUCUGUUCAGUUCCUCCCUGUUUACCAGACAGGGAGUUCUGUGACAGCAAAUGAAGAAACUGAGAACAAGAGAGAAGUACUGAAUCUCUUCUGCUUUUUUUCUUUGCCUCAUGUUGGAUAUCUCUACUCUGUUGAGAAGUUAGUAGAACUGAUUUCUACUUACCAGUACUCUGAGAAGUCAGAGCAGGCAGUUCUUACUCCACAGUUCCUGCAUGUCAUUACAAGUGACAGCCUGCAGUGUUUCACAGUGCGGUGCAGUGCAGCAGUGGCUCGUGAUGAAGAUCCAUACAUUGAUACAACUGUGAAGGCUUGUCCACCUGUCACACUGGAUGUCUGCACAUUACGAAUGCAGCUUUUUAUAGGGCCAAGAGCUAUAUGUCAUUACAAAAACCAUAUAAUUCUUCUGACUAAGGCUGAUACUGAAGAUAUUACUGAAAGACGAAAGCCUUCAAGAAGGAUGCUUUCCAGAAAGGCUGAUAGCAACAAAUCCAGAGCCAAUUCUGACUCAGAGCCUGGUUGGAAUUUGUAUAUUAUAAACACUGUUUCAACCAUCCAACUUUACAGAGAAAUGGUUGAAUAUCGUAGAACUUACGAAAAUGUAAGAACUGAGAGUUGCAUCCAUCUUCUAAGCGAGGCCCACUUACUAAUCAGAGCAGCGAUAAUGGACCCUAGUUUCUAUGAAUCAGAUGAGAAAGAAGAACUUCUGAGAGCGUUCAGAGAAAGUUGUGCCUUCUUAGGAGACUGCUACAGCAGGUUUGACACAAAGGAUUACCACCUCGCUUUGCCAUACUACCGAAUGUCAGGUUUAUCUGUGACUGAAGUUUUGGAACGACUAGCUUCAGAAAGUGAUGAAAUACAGAUGUAUAAAAGAGGAUUUAUAUUUUAUUUAACUCACUCUCUUAAUGAGGAGUUAAAUGGAGAAUUAAGCAAGGAAUUGGCAGAUAAAGUUCUCCAAAUAUUCUAUCAUGCUGACCCUGUGCAGCUCCCUCAUAUCAUCUGCAGUCCCUGUAUGAAGAAUGUAUGUCCUCUGACAGCUGUGAAGUAUCUUCGUAAAGUAGAAGACAUUAUGCCAUCAGUGGUCCUUACGCUCACUAAGGCUUUCAUGGCUCUGAAAAUGGGAGACCUUACAAUGUAUGAAUGUGAGAUGAACUCCCAUAAGGAGAUAAAGCUGGCCUGUGGUUUCACUGGGCAACCAGCACUCCUGAGAGAGUAUAAAGAAGGAAUUGUUACUCCAACUGAAUUUGCUGUUCACCUGAAGGUGACGCAACCUGGAUUACUGGUGGCUGCCAUUGUGGCUUUACAUGAAAACAGUAAAAUGGAACUGGAAGAAGCAGAUAUGUUCUUCAAGAUGUUGUGUAAUAAUGGUGAAGACACAGUUCCUCAACUUUUGCUAGAUUUCUGGGAAGCUCUUCUUAUAGUAUGCUCUCAGGAAGAAGUACUCCAGGAGCUCUUAUUGAGGGUUACUUAUCAGUAUGUUUGGAGGAUAUCAAAGAAGCAACUCCCUGAGACUAAGCCAUUGAAAACAACAGAGGAUCUGAUAAAUGCCUGUGAUCAUUUUGGCUUCAUUUUCCCAUGGGUUACUUUCAUAAUGUCAAUGGAAUCUCCACUUGAUAAAGUUUGUCCUGAAGAUAUUUCAAGGCUACAGUCUAUUUUAUGUGGUCAGUCGAUAGAUACAACUGCAGCUCUGCCUGUCCUGGAGCCUCUGGCAGAGGCUGGCAAUGUUGGGCUCACCAUUCGAGUUCUCUGUAGCACCCGUCUGGGCAACUACGAGGAGUCCAUUGACCAGCUCCUCAGACAGUGUCCUGCUGCAGCUGUGUUAUACGCUCAGCACGAGCUGAAAGGUGACAGUCGGGCUAUAUGGUGGAACAAGCUGCUUCCAGAUCUUUGUGAGGAAGCCAGACUUAAUAGAAGUGACAAUCCUGUUCUUAUUUCAUCAUUAAAAGAAACUUUAUCAGUAGUUGCAAUGGAACUGGAACUAAGGGAUUUCCUUAGUCUUCUACCAGAGGAUGGAACUGCAGCAUUUUUCCUCCCGCAUCUUCUUCACUGCAGCCAAAGGAAACUGUUGAUGUAGACACAGUGAAAGGAGCUGAAGAAAUAGUUAACAUCGACUCCUUCUGAUUCUUUUUUUUCUUCUGAGCGGUAGCACUUAAGUGUGAUCUGAUCAGAUCAGAACUUGCAGUAUUCUCGCUUCCAUAUUACUACAGGAAAUAUGAAGUCAUGAAGUACUGUUUGAUGACUGAACUGGAUCUGAGUAUGCUGGCAUGUCCUUGAGCUCUGUACUGCAUCUUUAAGAAUAAUGAACAUUACUACAGUAGAUAGGCUCUUACCUUCCUCUGGGAGCACUGUGUAGAUUGCUUCCAUGCCUGCAUGGAUGUGGUCAGUAACAUGACAGUGCAAUAACCAUGUUCCAGGGUUCUGUGGGAUCAUUUCCACUGUUUGAAAUGUUCCAGGGAACAGAUCAAAGACAUCUGCCCGGUAAACUCCUGUUUGCUUCAAGAUGAGAAGAAACGAUCAUUGAGCAGCACGGCAUAACCAGACAGCAGUUAUAACCCCAGUACUUCUUGACAAUGUUCUUUGUGGCUGCCCUGCUUAGCAUCAUAGAAUCACGGAAUGGCUUGGAUUGGAAGGAACCCCAAGGAUGAUCAAGAGAGGGGCAAUCACCUCCCUGUCCCUGCUGGCCACCUCUCUUCUGGUAGAGCCCACAAUACCAUUAGCAAUGGCAUGUUUUACCAUGUUUAGUAGCAAUAAUUAUAUCCUAUGUAAAGAUCACAGAAUAACUUUUAAGAUAAUAGCUAGUAUAAGCUAUGCUUUCUUUGUGUCACCAAAUUUGCUUUCUUUCAUAAAAGACAUGGCCAAGUUGUGUAUAAAAAAAAAAAAUUAGUGAUAUGUCAAGGACUAGAUGCACAGCAAUAGUUAUGAGGGGCAUUUUAAUUGUAGAGAUAGCUCGGCCAUGGUCAGCAUCAAACUUGUAAGAACCUGAGCUUAAGAGCAACAAACUAACAAAUGCCAGGUCUUUUGUGCUUCCCUAAAAAUAAAGCUUGCUAAACCCUACUAGAAGGCUUGAUGUAGAAACAACAUAAAGGUGCUUUGAUACCUGGGUUGGUUAUAGCAACAACAGAACUGUCUGUUUUCACUCCGUGGGCAUGUAUAGAAUAAGGUCUUGAUGCCAGAUUCUUAAAAACUAUGUUAAUUUUAUCUCCAAUACUUGACAUAAUCAGCGGCCCUGUUCAAUUGAAAAGAAAGAUUAAGAUCAUUUUGCAAAUAAUCAGAACAGAGUGAGAGAGAGAGAGAGAGCUUACUGUGCUGAAACACACAACAACAUGAUAAGCCAACUUCAGCAGUUGAAGUUAGGCAACUAAACAGGGAUGUAAAUUUUAGCACCUAUGCAAAUACUGCAUUUAUAUUUGAAGUCAGCUUGGAUGUUGGCAACUUUUUUUGUCAGCUUUGAAAAUACUGUAAUCAGGCAGCAAACCAGUAGUUUGCUGGUUUCUUAUUCCCCCCCCCCCCCUCGCCCGGUAAACCAAGCAAUUGAAUCUGGUAAAGAAAGCAUUGCAAGAAGCAAUUCCACAUAGGUUUAGAUACUCUGUGUGGCUAGAACUAAACUCAGUAUUGUUGAAAUACAAUUACCUUGAAUUUGAAGGUGCUGCUCUUCCUCUGCUCUGCUUUUUGGAGUACUGAAUGUGUGAUCCGUGUACUCACGAUACACUACUUUUUUGUAUUUUGAGCCAAUGAAUUUGUCUUCUUUAUUUAAAAAUGGAUUGCCAGGGCUGAAAAACAAACAAACAAACCUCAGUAAAUAGAUAUUACAAUAUACCUGACCUUUCUUCAUGUAUUUUGUACCAUCUUUUGCAGAUAAUAAAUUAGCCGUAAAACAAAAAUUUAACCUAGAGACUGCUGAGUUGAAAAAUGAGGCACUGCUUCCUGGCUUAUAUCAUGGGGGUUGGAGACAGGGAAAACAAACAAACAAGCAAACACCAAAACAAGCCUAUUAACAGCAUGGUCCAUAUUGCUUGUACUUAGAACUCUGAGAGAAUUUGCUGUGGUGUACAGGGUAAGGAAAUCUGCUAUCAGGCUGAAAAAAAAAGUAUAAACAUGAAAAUACAAUAGAAGCAAUAAAUGUAGGUAGUUACUAUCUACUUCUCGAACUAAGCUGUGUAGGCAGAAGAGGCACACACAAAUUCAGUUCAUUAUUUGUCCCCUUCUGGUAAUUGACUUGAAUUAUUUGAGGCCAUCGGUUCACUCAGUGAGAUUCAAAUACUGGGAACAGAACAAGUAGAUGAGCUUCACAAUGAAUGGAUUCAAUCACAAACUUAAUGUCUUGUGUAAAUUAAAUACAUGAGAGGAGUAAAAAGGAACCUUAUUCACAUUUCAGAUAAACAUUAAAUUUUUUAAAGUAAUCAAAUAUCAGAACAAAGAAGUCCUAUCUACAACUUGUUGGACAUCUGAAGCAUUCCACAUCAAGGACGGUACCAAAAGUAGUAAAUAAUAAAUGCACAUGCAAUUCCAGGAUCCAGUAGAAUCUGCAGCUGGACCAUUUCAUCAACAAUGCCCAGGCAGUUCUUGAGCAGUGGCUGCCUCCACCCUGGCCAGCUCCCCUCCGUUUUACAGUUUUUUCACAUGAUGUCAUAUGGUAUAGGAUAUCUCUGUGGCCAGUUGAGGUCAGCUGUCCUGAAUCCACUUGUGUCCUCCCAUUUCCUCAUGUCUCCCCAGCUGCAUCACUGGCAGAACAUGAGAAGCUGAAAACCUGAACAGUCCUUGUAUGUGUACAGCACUGCUCAGCAACAACUAAAAUAUCAGUGUUGAUAUUUGUUCUGAAUCCAAAAUACAUCAUACCAGACACUAUGAAGAAAACUAACUCAAUAACAAGUAAAGCUAGGACACAUGGCAACAUUAUCAGAGAAUGACCAGAAAUGCAUAUAUAUUUCUAGGGCUCACUUGAAAGGAAAAUGUGUGUAGAAAUGUCAGGAUUGCAAGGAGGAAAUAGUUCAGAGGAGAACUUGUUGCUUUGCAUUCUUCACAUUACCUCCCCCUCUCACCCCCUUAGUAUACAUUUUAAUAUACCUCUCCUCGUGAUAUUGAUGCCGCUCAAAUUCCCACGUCCUGUUAGGGGAAUAGUCCCAUUCAACUUCUAUGGCAGCAAUAUAGUGUGUCUUCUCAUGCAAAUACAGGGAUGGAUCCACAUUCCCCCAGUGGCAUGGUUUCACUUUGUAUUUCUGUUUCAUGCCUCCUCUGUAGUGAUCUGUUGUCAGGCACGAUACCUCAAAAAUUCCUGGAGGUUGCACAGGAAGUUAACACUUAAAGGCAGUUUCAAGACAAUCUUUACUUGUUGCUCUUACUGAACUGCAUUAUCUGUUUUGAUCUAGAGUUAGAGGUUGAAACAUGAGCCACUGUUUGCAUAAGAUGGAAAUUCUUUGUGUAAUAUGACUACUUGUAAUAAUACAGUUCAGUACAGAUGUAGAAGCUAAGAAAAUGUAGCACGAAGAGCUUGCACACUGUUUGCAACUCUUCAGACACAGCUUUAGUGUCCCCAGGGAUCAAAAUACCUGCUAUUUACAGUUUCUACCUAAGCAUAACAUGCUCACAGGUAAGCAGUUCCUAAACAAACAGUAUACUUCAAACACUUUGAGCUUUCACAUAUCUUGUGUAUCAGUCCUGCUGAGCCAGAAAGGAAGAAAGGAAGAAAGAAAAAAAAAAAAAAAAAAGCCUACAUUUUUACUCCUUUCAGUCAUUUUGUUCAAAAUUAAAAAUAUCAUAAAGUAACUCCAUGCCAUUUCUUUCAGAAAUUACUUCAAUGUACUCAUAGUCAAACCUGUCUUUUUUUAGCCACUGUCACAAAAAAAAAGAGAAAGAUUAAAUAAAAGCCUGCUUUUAAUUGUUUUAUGGGUACUAUUCUACAGCCUUUGGGAUAGGAAGAUGACAUGGCACACUAGAGCUAUCAGAGUUACUACUCCCAAAAUCUGUUGAUAUUCAGAAGGAAAGCAGGAUCCUGCCCAUUUAGCGGUAGAGCUAUACAAGAACAUCAAAAGGCUUCAGCUAAAGAACAGAUUUCUUGGAAAGGUCUGUUUUUGGCAACACAGGGUGUUUUUGCGUCCUGCAAACCAGCUGUGAACUGUGGCAAGAGAACCUUUGCCAGCCAAAGGCCAAUAGCAGUUUUUAUGGCAGAGGAAGAGCUGCAGUGAAUUUCGGUAGCAAUGCAAUACCGCUCUGUCUGGGAUCCAAGCUGAAAACAAACAAAAAAGCCCAAAUAGCCAAACAACAACCACCAAAGAGGACGCUUACCUUCAGAAUCAGGCUUCAUAAUAGCUGUAACAAAUGUAUGUGGAAAUAGAUUUGCCGUAUCCUUUCUUGUUCCUUUUGUUAUGAAUGUGUUAUGUGAAAAGUAUAUCCCAUGAACAUCGACUUCCGUUCCCAAGCCCAUCAAGUGCCAGGAAAUCACCUCACCUUUACACAUCUCAAGACCGGGUUGAUUUCCAUACAUAUAACCAUUGAUGGCUGCAGAAGAUUUGAAGAAGUAAACCCAAAUUUGAUUAACACAACUUAAUUCUGCAAUAUAAAUUAAAUAACAUUCAAAUAUAAUAUUGAAAAAUAAAUAUCAAAUGUAAUGUGAUGUCUUAGAGUGGCAAAGAUUAUAAAAUAUCACAGCAGCAAAAAUAGAGGACCUAUUCAAGCAAAAAAACUUUUUAAACCUGGCACUUAAAUUAAAAAAUUUCAAACUGUUCUCACUUUCAUUGUCUAAAUCACAGGGACCUGACCUGACCACCUGGAACCUUCACUGCUUUACACUGCAAUGGUUCUAUGUUCACACAGUGGAGACGAUCCCAAACACUGGUGGUUUAAGUUAAUGAUUCUUACUUCUGUGCAAACCUUCCGAAGGCUGAGCCUUUGUCAGGUUCUUCUGGAAUGCUUACUAUCAAAGCUCUGUAAGUAAUAGAAAUGCCACAAAAGGCAAGUAUAAGAAACUGCAUGGGUAAAUCUGUUUUAAAGAUAAUAAAGUAUUUGCAAAGCUAAGAACUGAAGAAAAUGUUCUUUCAUACAAAACUGGAAAUAACUUGCUACAGUAUCAAAAUAUAUUCACGUAGCUCUAUUAGCUCCGCUCUAUAAAGAAGCAGUGAUUUUCACUGUAAGGCAUCCAGUGUGGUAAAGACACUCAGCUAUGGACAAAAAAAAUACUCGUUUCAGCCACAUCUUCUGUAGGGCAGAGGUCAGUUUUCCUCUUAUUACCUGGCUGCAUUCAUAGGGGUUGCACAUGGGCUGCAGACCUCGUUCCUUCAUGUCUGCUGAAAGAGGUAUGUAACAGUGCCAAAUAGUCCACUGCUGACACUGAACUGCUGUCAGUACAUUUUGAACUGAUAACCACUCUGACCUGAAAUUAAAUUGCUUUCAAAUAUGGUCUGUUCCAGUGGAAAGAAAAUUAGCAUCUCUGUUACUAUACAGUCUCCCAGUCUCCACUGUGAGCUUGCAAAAAUGAAAAACUUACAG